CAUUCAAAGUAUCAUAAAGUAUGUUUCCUAAAUGCGCUCAUUUGUAGGGCAUAAGUGGCAACCAUCUACCAUUAGAAUUCCCACACGAGAGCAAUUGCAAACCAGCUAAUAUAUAGCUCCAUCUUGGAAGUCAGUCUUUUUCUAUUCGGCAGGGAGCAUUCAAUGGUCGAGCCUUUCAUUUUCACUCCUUCACUAGUGCAGGCCAUGCAAGAGCAUGGCAAGAAAGCAUCAUGCAACCUUUAUUAUAAGGUUGUGGUGCAAGACCGGCCU
rnacentral:lncRNA from 1 species